GAAAGAAAGAUUAAUACUGGAUAGCAUAACGAGAAGGCAUCUUCUUGUUAUUAAAGAAUUUCGAUAAUCGAUGGGGAUGCGUUCCAUUAGUUUGUUGGCGGGGUAACGGCCCACCAAGACAUCGAUGGAUAGGGGUUCUGAGAGGAAGGUCCCCCACAUUGGAACUGAGACACGGUCCAAACUCCUACGGGAGGCAGCAGUGAGGAAUAUUGGUCAAUGGACGAGAGUCUGAACCAGCCAAGUAGCGUGAAGGAUGACUGCCCUAUGGGUUGUAAACUUCUUUUAUAUGGGAAUAAAGUGAGCCACGUGUGGCUUUUUGUAUGUACCAUACGAAUAAGGAUCGGCUAACUCCGUGCCAGCAGCCGCGGUAAUACGGAGGAUCCGAGCGUUAUCCGGAUUUAUUGGGUUUAAAGGGAGCGUAGGCGGAUUAUUAAGUCAGUUGUGAAAGUUUGCGGCUCAACCGUAAAAUUGCAGUUGAUACUGGUAGUCUUGAGUGCAGCAGAGGUAGGCGGAAUUCGUGGUGUAGCGGUGAAAUGCUUAGAUAUCACGAAGAACUCCGAUUGCGAAGGCAGCUUACUGGACUGUAACUGACGCUGAUGCUCGAAAGUGUGGGUAUCAAACAGGAUUAGAUACCCUGGUAGUCCACACAGUAAACGAUGGAUACUCGCUGUUUGCGAUAUACAGCAAGCGGC
rnacentral:rRNA from 1 species